ACCUCAAUUUCCUGGGCUCAAGUGAUCCAACCACCUUUCCCCUCUCAAUGGGAUUACAGUUGAGAGCAAUAUUUCCAUAUACCUUGAUUACAACCCUAGAAAAAUCACACCAGGUAACCUCAGUUGAGCCCUGCUGAGCAGGAGAAAGGGAGAAUCCACUCACCGAACUCUGUGCUGAAAAUGCCUCCAUCUACAAGAAGAGAUGCGUUUUUCUAAUUCAUGUAAAAAUUAAUAAACUAGCUGUAUGGAAUGGUGUUACUCUCCCACAAACAUAUAAAAAAUAAAGAUGCAAUCUUAAAUUUA
rnacentral:lncRNA from 10 species